rnacentral:rRNA from 1 species
GAUCCUGGCUCAGGAUGAACGCUAGCGGCAGGCUUAANACAUGCAAGUCGAGGGGCAGCAUAAUGAAGUAGCAAUACUGAAUUGAUGGCGACCGCGCACGGGUGCGUAACGCGUAUGCAACCUACCCAUAACAGGGGGAUAACACUGAGAAAUUGGUACUAAUACCCCGUAACAUCAUUUGAGGCAUCUCAGAUGGUUGAAAGUUCCGGCGGUUAUGGAUGGGGGUGCGUCCCAUUAGCUAGUUGGCGGGGUAACGGCCCACCAAGGCAUCGAUGGGUAGGGGUUCUGAGAGGAAGGUCCCCCACACUGGAACUGAGACACGGUCCAGACUCCUACGGGAGGCAGCAGUGAGGAAUAUUGGUCAAUGGAGGCAACUCUGAACCAGCCAGGUAGCGUGAGGGAUGACUGCCCUACGGGUUGUAAACCUCUUUUGUCGGGGAAUAAACCGCGCCACGUGUGGCGCCCUGCAUGUACCCGCAGAAUAAGGACCGGCUAAUUCCGUG